CAAAAUGCCAAAAUAGUUACAGUUACUUACUGAUUAAGUGAUUAGGCUGCUGGCUGCAGCAAAUAUGGUGUCAGUCUGGUCCGUGAAGGAAAGUUUCAAUCACAGAAUUAUGAAAAAAUGUGAAAGGUGCAUGAAGCCAGUACCGUCAACUAUUGUGUUAAAAAUCCUGGUAUCCUACAGAAUAUGUCAUCCAAAUGACAGAGUGGAUUCAUCACUAUUAUCAGCUGAAUCAUUCUAUUGGACU